rnacentral:antisense_RNA from 1 species
CUUGAUCGACCCCAACCACAGGGGCUCGGCCCGGUCCUGCCCGUAGGUCGCCAACAACGCCUGCGCCUC